CUUGAAUUGCACAACAUAAAGGCAGCAUAAAAUAUUUGCUCUCUGAUUCCACAUAAAGAACUUCAGCUUUCUCUGGAAACUUAGAACUCUUUGGAAGCCAAACACUCCACAAUGAAGAGCUUUCUGGCUUUCCUUGUUGCAAUGGGCAUCAUCGUGACCCUGAGCGGAGCAGACUGCUAUGCUCUACUUUGAGAUCCAGAGUUGCCCUACAGAGGCUGUAUGAUAAAUGGAAAUCUGUAUCCCUUUGGACACAUUGAGAGGACAGAAGAUUGCUACAAAUGCGACUGCAGCGAAGGUGGAGUGGAAUGCUGUUCCCUCUCUCAUAGGACCGUUUCUUACAACAAAAAGAAAUGUAAAGUUGUUUUCAACAAGAAAUGCUGUGACUGUGAUGUGGUGCAGAAGGACGACCCCUCAAAGCCGUGUUGUUUUGCCUCUUCUUGUGUGGGCUAACACCUGCUCCAAACCUCUCUGCACUGUGGAAUUACUCUCCUUCCUUCAGAUGCUUUGCCAUCACAGAGAAGCAUGAUGACACAGGAAAAUCUCAUAAAAGAGAGCAUUUCAGUAGCUCAUUUUGAACCUCCUAAUUGUCCUAAUUCAGCACACAAGAUGCAUAAUCAGAUAGAGUAUCUCGUUUCUAUCAAAAGGUCAUAUUCAUGUUCUUAAUUUUAGUUGUUAAGACUUUGUGUUUUAAUUGAUUUACAGAUGUUUAGUUAACUUUUAAAUUAAGUAGGAUUUUAUUCUACUAGUUUCCUUUGUUCAACCUGUAUUUAUUUAUUUUUUUUUAAUUAGAGCUUUAUAACCUGUAAGGUCCCAAGAGUUUCUGUAGAAUCUGGGUGCCAGUUUUCUUACAGAUGAAGAUGACUUUGUUAGUGGAAGAAGAUUUUUGAUUUGCUGGCAGCACCAGUAAAAGUGUGAAUGAAUGACCAAAAAAAGAAAUCUAACACAGACUUUGAAUCUCUUGAGAAUAUAUUCUUUAUGGUUCUGGGACUGGGAAGAACCAGCAUAUUUGUGUGAUUAGCACAUUCUUCCAGAAGUUAUCUGUGGGUGGGAAAACCCAUCUUCCACUGCAAGGGCACCUCCUCCACCACUUGUACUUGAAGCAGAAUCUGAACAGCUCAGCACAAACAAGAGCUGACACUGGAGAAGAAAGAAAAUGAAUUCUGAUGGGUUUACCAGGCCAAGGAAAUGUAGAGCCUUGUCUCACAGACUCCAGAGAAUAGACUGUAUUCACUGAGACUCAGAAAUUGCAUAUAAAUGUUUUCAAAAAGACAUUUUUUAGUCUCAGUGUGCAAUGGUAUUGGUUUUUCUAUUAUCAGAGUAGCUGCCAAUACUGAAACUUCCUUUUUUUUCUUUCUCCUCUAAAUAAAAGUAAUUUAGCAAUGAAGCUCAGGAGUCUUUAAUCUCCCUUGCUCAGAGUGGGGAAAUGGUCAAGAACAUUGCCACUGGUAAUUUUUACUUGUUUUGGAUUUUUUAUUCAUGAGAUUAUCCAUCUGCAGGAAAGCAAGCUAAUACAUCACUCAUCCUCCGUUAUGAUUUUUUUAUUAUUAUUAUUUAUGUACCACCAAAAAUUAAUGAAAUGUGUAGGGCAGGAAGGGAGAGGUACUAGUUCUGUUUUCCAUUCAUCACAGCAAUGAGAUUAAAGAAAAACUUAUUCAAUUUUGGUAACUUCCUCAGAAAUCCCAUCAGAACUUCCUCUCCAAAUGAUGAAUAUUUUUGUGUUGGUAAAACACUGGAGAAUAAGUUUUUCCCAUUUUUAUAUCCACAGGUUAGACGAUACAAAAGCUCCUUAAAAACAACCCAUUAUUGUCAGAGUAAGUCCAAAUUUCAGAUUCUAAAGAUUUUAUAACACUCAAAUUCAAUCUGUUGAUACCUAUACAAUCGGAGAAUCAUGACAAUACCACACAUAUAUUUAAUCUGCAGCAUAUUUCACAUUUUAAGGAUUUCAAAAAUAAAAUGCUAGCUGUCAUUUUGUGAAAAAGAUUUCAUUAAAUUUGUUGCAUUUUCUACCCUU